AGAGUUUGAUCCUGGCUCAGAUUGAACGCUGGCGGCAGGCCUAACACAUGCAAGUCGAGCGGAUGAAGGGAGCUUGCUCCUGGAUUCAGCGGCGGACGGGUGAGUAAUGCCUAGGAAUCUGCCUGGUAGUGGGGGAUAACGUCCGGAAACGGGCGCUAAUACCGCAUACGUCCUGAGGGAGAAAGUGGGGGAUCUUCGGACCUCACGCUAUCAGAUGAGCCUAGGUCGGAUUAGCUAGUUGGUGGGGUAAAGGCCUACCAAGGCGACGAUCCGUAACUGGUCUGAGAGGAUGAUCAGUCACACUGGAACUGAGACACGGUCCAGACUCCUACGGGAGGCAGCAGUGGGGAAUAUUGGACAAUGGGCGAAAGCCUGAUCCAGCCAUGCCGCGUGUGUGAAGAAGGUCUUCGGAUUGUAAAGCACUUUAAGUUGGGAGGAAGGGCAGUAAGUUAAUACCUUGCUGUUUUGACGUUACCAACAGAAUAAGCACCGGCUAACUUCGUGCCAGCAGCCGCGGUAAUACGAAGGGUGCAAGCGUUAAUCGGAAUUACUGGGCGUAAAGCGCGCGUAGGUGGUUCAGCAAGUUGGAUGUGAAAUCCCGGGGCUCAACCUGGGAACUGCAUCCAAAACUACUGAGCUAGAGUACGGUAGAGGGUGGUGGAAUUUCCUGUGUAGCGGUGAAAUGCGUAGAUAUAGGAAGGAACACCAGUGGCGAAGGCGACCACCUGGACUGAUACUGACACUGAG
rnacentral:rRNA from 1 species